rnacentral:rRNA from 1 species
CAGGAUUAGAUACCCUGGUAGUCCACGCCGUAAACGAUGUCGACUUGGAGGUUGUGCCCUUGAGGCGUGGCUUCCGGAGCUAACGCGUUAAGUCGACCGCCUGGGGAGUACGGCCGCAAGGUUAAAACUCAAAUGAAUUGACGGGGGCCCGCACAAGCGGUGGAGCAUGUGGUUUAAUUCGAUGCAACGCGAAGAACCUUACCUACUCUUGACAUCCAGAGAACUUUCCAGAGAUGGAUUGGUGCCUUCGGGAACUCUGAGACAGGUGCUGCAUGGCUGUCGUCAGCUCGUGUUGUGAAAUGUUGGGUUAAGUCCCGCAACGAGCGCAACCCUUAUCCUUUGUUGCCAGCGGUUAGGCCGGGAACUCAAAGGAGACUGCCAGUGAUAAACUGGAGGAAGGUGGGGAUGACGUCAAGUCAUCAUGGCCCUUACGAGUAGGGCUACACACGUGCUACAAUGGCGCAUACAAAGAGAAGCGACCUCGCGAGAGCAAGCGGACCUCAUAAAGUGCGUCGUAGUCCGGAUUGGAGUCUGCAACUCGACUCCAUGAAGUCGGAAUCGCUAGUAAUCGUGGAUCAGAAUACCACGGUGAAUACGUUCCCGGGCCUUGUACACACCGCCCGUCACACCAUGGGAGUGGGUUGCAAAAGAAGUAGG